UACGAAGGGGGCUAGCGUUGCUCGGGAUCACUGGGCGUAGAGCGCACGUAGGCGGAUCGUUAAGUCAGGGGUGAAAUCCUGGAGCUCAACUCCAGAACUGCCCUUGAUACUGGCGAUCUCGAGUUCGAGAGAGGUUGGUGGAACUCCGAGUGUAGAGGUGAAAUUCGUAGAUAUUCGGAGGAACACCAGUGGCGAAGGCGGCCAACUGGCUCGAUACUGACGCUGAGGUGCGAAAGCGUGGGGAGCAAAC
rnacentral:rRNA from 1 species